AUUGAACGCUGGCGGCAGGCCUAACACAUGCAAGUCGAACGGCAGAAGAGAAAUAGCUUCUGGUUACAGGGGCGGAGGGGCGAACAGUGCCUGGGAAUAUCCGAAGCUGCGGGUGCUUGGGGCGGAACAUGGGCGAACAUACCGUAUUAGCGCAGAGGGACUACGGGGGAAAGCAUCGGAUCUUCGGAUCUCGCGCGAUUGUAGGAGGCGAUGUCGGAUUAGCUAGUUGGAGGGGUAAAGGCCCACCAAGGCGACGAUCCGUAGCUGGUCUGAGAGGAUGAUCAGCCACACUGGAACUGAGACACGGUCCAGACUCCUACGGGAGGCAGCAGUGGGGAAUAUUGGACAAUGGGCGCAAGCCUGAUCCAGCCAUGCCGCGUGGGUGAAGAAGGCCUUCGGGUUGUAAAGCCCUUUUGGUUGGAAAGAAAGGCAGUAAGUUAAUACCUUGCUGUUCUGACGGUACCAACAGAAUAAGCACCGGCUAACUUCGUG
rnacentral:rRNA from 1 species